rnacentral:rRNA from 1 species
AUACAGAGGGUGCAAGCGUUAUUCGGAAUUACUGGGCGUAAAGCGCGCGUAGGCGGAUGAUUAAGUCAGUUGUGAAAGCCCUGGGCUCAACCUAGGAACUGCAUCUGAUACUGGUCGUCUAGAGUUUAAGAGAGGGAAGUGGAAUUCCAGGUGUAGCAGUGAAAUGCGUAGAUAUCUGGAGGAACAUCAGUGGCGAAGGCGACUUCCUGGCUUAAAACUGACGCUGAGGUGCGAAAGCGUGGGUAGCGAACGGGAUUAGAAACCCCUGUAGUCC